UGCCAUAAGGUGUUUGCUGAGUUUGUUACC
rnacentral:piRNA from 1 species